GAGCGAGGAGGGAGGGAGGGAGGGAGGUAGAGAGACGGACAGAUAGUAGAGAGAGACAGCACAUGGCGUUGUAACCAUAGCAGCAGUCUGCUCUACUUGACAGUAGAGUAAACAUCCUCCUUUCCCUAGCAACACCGAUUCACUACGGAAUUAAAGGCCAGUGCCUUACCAUCUUACACACACAUGACACACACACACACGCACACACAAAUAAAUGGCUUUGGAAUGACCCGUGUGAUACAUCUACCAGAGGAGAUGAUGAGGAGGGUGCUGAGGUAGAGGAGGGAGCUGAGGUAGAGGACGGAGCUGAGGGAGCUGAGGUAGAGGAGGGAGCUGAGGUAGAGGAGGGAGCUGAGGGAGCUGAGGUAGAGGGGGGAGCUGAGGUAGAGGAGGGAGCUGAGGUAGAGGACGGAGCUGAGGGAGCUGAGGUAGAGGAGGGAGCUGAGGUAGAGGAGGGAGCUGAGGUAGAGGAGGGAGCUGAGGUAGAGGAGGGAGCUGAGGUAGAGGACGGAGCUGAGGGAGCUGAGGUAGAGGACGGAGCUGAGGUAGAGGAGGGAGCUGAGGUAGAGGGGGAGCUGAGGUAGAGGGGGGAGCUGAGGUAGAGGAGGGAGCUGAGGUAGAGGAGGGAGCUGAGGGAGCUGAGGUAGAGGAGGGAGCUGAGGUAGAGGAGGGAGCUGAGGUAGAGGACGGAGCUGAGGGAGCUGAGGUAGAGGAGGGAGCUGAGGUAGAGGAGGGAGCUGAGGUAGAGGAGGGAGCUGAGGUAGAGGAGGGAGCUGAGGUAGAGAAUCGGAGCUGAGGUAGAGGGGGGAGCUGAGGUAGAGGGGGGGCUGAGGUAGAGUGGGG
rnacentral:lncRNA from 1 species